rnacentral:rRNA from 1 species
GGGUCUCUGUGAAGGUGCUGCAUGGUUGUCGUCAGCUCGUGCCGUGAGGUGUCGGCUUAAGUGCCAUAACGAGCGCAACCCCUCUCUUCAGUUGCCAUCAGGUUAAGUUGGGCACUCUAAUGAGACUGCCGGUGACAAGCCGGAGGAAGUGGGGAUGACGUCAAGUCCUCAUGGCCCUUAUGACCAGGGCUUCACACGCCAUACAAUGGUCGGUACAGAGGGUAGCCAAGCCGCGAGGUGGAGCCAAUCUCACAAACCGAUCGUAGUCCGGAUUGCACUCUGCAACUCGAGUGCAUGAAGUCGGAAUCGCUAGUAAUCGCAGGUCAGCAUACUGCGGUGAAUACGUUCCCGGGUCUUGUACACACGUCGACGCGGCCG